rnacentral:lncRNA from 1 species
AGAUAUCAUAGAAGUCAUAUGUUUGGGGAACCAACCUAGUGAACCAUAUUCGGUGUGAGUAACUCUUGGGUGUAUCACUACUACAAAUAAUGAGAACCAUAAGGAGUGACGUUGGAAGAGACUUACUAAGUGAUGAUCUGGAAGAGAUUAGUUCAGUAGAUUGUAUGCGUUAGUAAGGUGUAAAUUGGUUAGUUAGAAUAUGGAAUUCAAUAAUUUCUUGGAUUCAUGACUUCGGAUGAGGACCCCAAGGAGAGUAGUAUUUUU